rnacentral:misc_RNA from 1 species
UUGACUUGUUUUUCUUGUACUCGGAGAUGCCACGCUGCAGAGACAGAGUAGUGGGCCACCGGCGGGCUCGACGCCCGGCGCGGGGCCGGGCGCCCGCCGAGGCAACGUUUCGGUAGGUUCACAGGGGUUGUGGGAUCUUGCGAUUCCAGUAAUGAUCCCUCCGCUGGUUCACCAACGGAGA